rnacentral:sRNA from 1 species
AUGGUGUUCACCCCACUUCAUCAGCGUACAUAAGUUAUCUCUUCUUUUGGACCCUUAUUUUAUGCCAUAAUGCAACAAGCUUUAGAACUAGCUUUGGAUCGUGCAGAGUAUGUCAUUGAAAGUGCCCGACAGAGACCUCCUAAAAGGAAAUACCUAUCAAGUGGAAGAAAAUCUGUAUUUCAAAAACUUUAUGACUUGUAUAUUGAAGAAUGUGAAAAAGAACCUGAAGUUAAGCAGAAAUUAAGAAGAAAUGUGAACUUGUUAGAGAAGCUUGUUAUGCAAGAGACUUUGUCAUGUUUAGUGGUCAAUCUAUACCCAGGAAAUGAGGGAUAUUCUCUGAUGCUCAGGGGAAAAAACGGAUCAGAUUCCGAGACCAUUCGACUGCCCUAUGAAGAAGGAGAGUUGCUUGAAUAUUUGGAUGCAGAAGAAUUACCUCCUAUUUUGGUUGAUCUCCUAGAAAAAUCUCAGGUUAAUAUUUUUCAUUGCGGAUGUGUCAUAGCAGAAAUACGUGACUACAGGCAGUCCAGUAACAUGAAAUCUCCUGGUUACCAAAGUCGGCACAUUCUCUUACGUCCAACAAUGCAGACUUUAAUUUGUGAUGUACAUUCAAUAACAAGUGAUAACCACAAAUGGACCCAGGAAGACAAACUUUUGCUUGAGAGCCAGCUCAUCCUAGCUACAGCUGAACCACUCUGUCUUGAUCCUUCUAUAGCAGUCACCUGCACUGCAAACAGACUGCUCUAUAACAAGCAAAAGAUGAACACUCGCCCAAUGAAACGGUGUUUCAAGAGGUAUUCCAGAUCCUCUCUGAAUCGGCAGCAAGAUCUAUCUCAUUGUCCACCUCCUCCUCAGCUGAGGUUACUUGAUUUCUUACAAAAAAGAAAGGAAAGAAAAGCAGGUCAGCAUUAUGACCUCAAAAUUUCUAAGGCAGGAAAUUGUGUAGAUAUGUGGAAACGGAGUCCCUGUAAUUUGGCCAUACCUUCUGAAGUAGAUGUGGAGAAAUAUGCUAAAGUGGAAAAGUCUAUCAAAUCUGAUGACUCACAGCCAACAGUCUGGCCAGCCCAUGAUGUAAAAGAUGAUUAUGUAUUUGAAUGUGAAGCUGGUACUCAGUAUCAGAAAACAAAGCUGACCAUCUUGCAGUCGCUUGGAGAUCCACUUUACUAUGGUAAAAUACAGCCAUGUAAAGCAGAUGAAGAAAGUGACAGCCAGAUGUCUCCAUCACACUCGUCCACAGAUGAUCAUUCAAAUUGGUUCAUUAUUGGAUCAAAGACCGAUGCUGAGAGGGUAGUCAAUCAGUACCAGGAAUUAGUCCAGAAUGAAGCCAAAUGUCCGGUCAAGAUGUCACACAGCUCCAGUGGCUCAGCCAGUCUGAGUCAGGUCUCUCCAGGGAAAGAAACAGAUCAAACUGAAACCGUGUCAGUUCAGUCUUCGGUAUUGGGGAAGGGUGUAAAACAUCGACCCCCACCAAUCAAACUUCCCUCAAGCUCAGGAAAUAGUUCCUCAGGUAACUAUUUUACACCACAACAGACAAGCAGCUUUCUCAAAUCUCCAACUCCUCCUCCUUCUUCUAAGCCAUCAAGUAUUCCUCGGAAAUCAUCUGUGGAUCUCAAUCAAGUUAGCAUGCUUUCUCCAGCUGCCCUAUCACCUGCCAGCUCAUCACAAAGUGAGUCAUAACUUAAAUUCUUCAUUAAAUCUUCAUAAGCUUUUGCAUUAGUGUUUCUUAAGACAGCUUUUUUCAACCUGUGAAGUAGUGAUAUCUGAAUGUACUGUGUAUCCAAAAUGUAUAAGUUGCUAGAAGCUUCAGGCAGAGCUCUUGUUGAUUGUAUGUAUUAUGUCUCUAUUGUAAUUGUACUUGUUUUUCUGUAUCUAUGUAUGCAUUCUGCGUAUACCUUUCUUAUAGGCUUACAACCUACACAUCUCCUUAAAAAAAUAACCUGAUAGUUACAUGUGGCAAUAAGAUUUCAAAAUAUUUUUUAUUCCAGUAUACCCUAGGAUCAUUUUACAUAUUUAUGUAAAUUGUGUGGCUGAUAUGAAAAAAAUGUCAUAAGAGUUGUUGCUGCAGGUCCUAUCUUUGUGUAUAUGUAAGAAGUCAACUAGUUCCAAGGUGGUGAUACAAUAAACUGAAAAACAAUAUUUCAAAAACACUCCU